rnacentral:rRNA from 1 species
UUUGAAAUCUGGCACCUUCGGUGUCCGAGUUGUAAUUUGAAGAAGGUAACUUUGGAGUCAGCUCUUGUCUAUGUUCCUUGGAACAGGACGUCACAGAGGGUGAGAAUCCCGUGCGAUGAGAUGUCUGAUUCUAUGUAAAGUGCUUUCGAAGAGUCGAGUUGUUUGGGAAUGCAGCUCUAAGUGGGUGGUAAAUUCCAUCUAAAGCUAAAUAUUGGCGAGAGACCGAUAGCGAACAAGUACAGUGAUGGAAAGAUGAAAAGAACUUUGAAAAGAGAGUGAAAAAGUACGUGAAAUUGUUGAAAGGGAAGGGUUUGAGAUCAGACUUGGUAUUUUGUAUGUCUUGCUUUCGGGUGGGGCCUCUACAGUUUACUGGGCCAGCAUCGGUUUGGACGGUAGGAUAAUGACAUUGGAAUGUGGCACCACUUCGGUGGUGUGUUAUAGACUUUGUUGAUACUGCCUGUCUAGACCGAGGACUGCGUCUUUGACUAGGAUGCUGGCAUAAUGAUCUUAAACC